CGGAGAGAAACUUUCCCUUGCUCGUUAUAACUAGUGUUUGCACACAUCGUGCAGAGCAGAGGCAUUUGCAGGAAAAGAAUAUUUCAGAAACUCAAAUGAACAUUCCUUCCUCCAGUUACCCUUACUCCCUCUCUAAUAUCCAUCUGGGCAAGGGUGUUGAUUAAGGUCAAUGCAAAGUGGCUUUAUGUUUUGCUCUAUUUUGUCUCUGCAUAUGCUAGUCACUGUGUACCUUUCAAAA
rnacentral:lncRNA from 1 species